GCAGAGGUGAGGGGGGUGAGUAAGUGGGGGUGUGGGUGGCUGGGGGGGGAGAGGAGAGAGGGUAGGAAGGAAAAAAUUGGAGGUAGGGUGAGGGAAGGGGGAGGGUUGAAGGGAAACUAAUGAAACAGAGGACAAAGGAGAAUAACAAGUCAAAAGCAAUGCAUGUAAAUACAGAGCAAGCAAGUAGGAAAGCUAGGCAUAGCACAGCAAAAGAGAGCACAGCAACAGAAGGCAAAGAAUGACAAAAAGCAACCUUGCAGGAAUGGAGGACUCUGGCCAGAGCUGUGCCCCUGCUUGCCACAGGAGCUGCGCGGGGAGGAGAAGAAUGUGGGCCAAAAGGAAUGGAGGACUCUGGCCAGAGCUGUGCCCCUGCUUGCCACAGGAGCUGCGCGGGAGGAGAAGAAUGUGGGCCAAAAGGAGCUGCGCGGGAGGAGAAGAAUGUGGGCCAAAAGAGCAAAGGAAAGCAAGGCAAAAUAGCAGCCAAAGCCACGAGAAUCAAGAAGUCAGUGAAGAGCAGGAAAGGUAAGUUUCCCUUAAAGCAAGGGGGAAUGGUAGUGGAUGGGGGCAAAAGAGAGGGGAGGGGAGGGGAAGUGAAGGAGAGGGGGGAGAGGGGGAGGAGCAGUGGGGCUAGAGGGGGGUGAGGGGGGCGAGAGGGGGGAGGGAGGAGGGGUGGAGAGGGGGCAGAGGUGAGGGGGGUGAGUAAGUGGGGGUGUGGGUGGCUGGGGGGGGAGGAGAGAGGGUAGGAAGGAAAAAAUUGGAGGUAGGGUGAGGGAAGGGGGAGGGUUGAAGGGAAACUAAUGAAACAGAGGACAAAGGAGAAUAACAAGUCAAAAGCAAUGCAUGUAAAUACAGAGCAAGCAAGUAGGAAAGCUAGGCAUAGCACAGCAAAAGAGAGCACAGCAACAGAAGGCAAAGAAUGACAAAAAGCAACCUUGCAGGAAUGGAGGACUCUGGCCGAGCUGUGCCCCUGCUUGCCACAGGAGCUGCGCGGGAGGAGAAGAAUGUUGGGCCAAAAGGUAAGAGGAGCUCCUUUGGGUUCUGGGCUUGAAGCAAAGCUGAGAAGCCAUGCCCGGGAGGAGGUGUGGGUAGCUACAGGCCAGCUUGCUAUCUCCCCAAGAGAUGAGGUGUGUGGGCUAGGCACCGGGGCAGGAGUGCUGGCCAGAAGCAAGCAUCUCUGUGGAGGAAGGCAAAGGGCGGAGGAGGUUCAAGGGUAGCUACCGGGCAUGGCCUUGCUCAGCAAGGGGAGGAAAAGCGUGAAGGGCACGAGAAGGGGACAGAGAAGGGCAGGCAGUGGCGUGAAGCUGUGAGCAGAGUAGAGAGCAACUUGGCAGAGCAGCACGCAGAGUAGGCAAAGUGUUGGGGUUUGGCGUGAGUAGCAGCAAAAGCCAAUAGCAUCAAGGAGCAGGAAGUGAGGAGAAGGUAAGUGAAGGGCAGGCAAGGUACUGGGAGGCAAAGGCAAGGGGAAAGGGGAGGGUAAGGGAGAAAAGAGGGGAUGGGGAGGGGAGGGAUGGGUGAAGAGCAGAGCGGAG
rnacentral:lncRNA from 7 species